rnacentral:lncRNA from 10 species
CCGUCCACACUUGUCUGCUGCUGUUCCUCACCUCUCCAGUGAGCGUGGAGUUCCAUGGUCUCAGGUGACAGCCAUCACACCCACUCUGAAUUUCCUGACAGGCAUAAUAGAAUUGAAGACACAGUGGAUAACGACAGAGCCUCGUGUACUGCUAACAGAGACAUACCAGAGAUGCUUUUAAAGUUCUACAAGCAACAUUUUCAUGUUCAAUGUGGAGGUCAGUAAGAGACCAAAAAUCCCAAAUCCCAGAUUGUACCUCCUACUCUCUGUGAUGGAUUAGAAAGAAAACAGGAUCCUCUUCAUCCUUCAAGACCCAGUCAGUUUUGUCGCCUCUGAGAAGUCUUCUCCUGUGUCUGCUUCCACCCCACCCUGCUUCAGGAAGACUCACGUUGCCUAGAAUUCAACAACCACCCUGGAACUGUGCCUUCUGUUUUUUAUGUUUCAGAUACAUACCCAUACCCCAAUAAUUCUACCAAAUUUAAGCUAUCUUUAUGAAACUAAAUAUGAAGAUUCAAAUUAGAUUUAAAACUCAUUUAGCUAAUCUGUUCCAAAAGCAACUUCUGUCUGUUAAUUGGUCGUUUGGUAAGCAGCUUUAGACUCAUUUUAGUACCUUAACUUAAAAUACCACUCUCGGCACACAAAUACUUGUUUAUUGAUGUCGAAAUUAAGAAAUUGUAUUUCUUUUUUUUAAGACAGAGUCUUGCUCUGUCACCCAGGCUGGAGUGCAGGCACAAUCUAUGCUCACUGCAACCUCAGCCUCCUGGGUUCAAGUGAUUCUCCUGCCUCAGCCUCCCAAGUAGCUGGGAUUACAGGCAUGUGCCACCAUGCCCCGUUAAUUUUUGUAUUUUUAGUAGAGAUGGGGUUUUGCCAUGUUGGCCAGGCUGGUCACGAACUCCUGACCUCAGGUGAUCCACCCACCUCAGUCUCCCAAAGUGCUGGGAUUACAGGGGUGAGCCACCACACCCAGCCAGAAAUUGUAUUUUCUUAUCAUCUGGUUUAAUAUUUUGCUUUUUUAACUGUUACUUCACCAAAAUAAUAAAAAAGCAGUUUUGAACCACAUAGGAAAAUGAAUCUUUUCCUAAUUUUGGCCAGGGUAGACCUGCUGGUAGUACUCAGAAAUCGGUUACUAUUAAAACAGUUUAAUUUUUUCAGUUCUUCAUUAUUCAAAGACUCCAAUUAGCACCUCUUUCAAAUAUGUGAGCAGAGAGCUUCAUAAAAAUUUAAUUAGGCCGGGUACAUUGGCUUAUACUUGUAAUCCCAGCACUUUGGGAGGCCAAGGCAGGAGAACAGCUUGAGCUCAGGAGUUUGAGGCCAACCUGGGCAACACAGAGAGACCUGUCUCUAAAAAAAGAAAAGAAAAAAGACUUAAUAAAAAAGAAUUAAUCCACUGCACACCUAUUAGAAAGGCUAAAAUCCAAAACGCUGACAACACCAAAUGCUGGUGAGGAUGUGGAGCAACAGGAAUUCUCAUCCAUGGCUGGUGGGGAAUACAAAAUGGUACCGCCACUUUAGAAGAGAGUUUGGCAGUUUCUUACAAAUCUAAACAUACUCAGCUGGGUGCAGUGGCUCAUGCCUUUAAUCCCAGCACUUUGGGAGGCCGAGACGGGUGGAUCACCUGAAGUCAGGAGUUCAAGACCAGCCUGGGCAACAUGGUGAAACCCAUUUAAAAUUUUUUAUUCUACUAAAAAUACAAAAAUCAGCUGGCAUGGUGGCACGUGCCUGUAGUCCCAGCUACUUCGGAGGCUGAGGCAGGAGAAUCACUUGAACUCGGGAGGCGGAGGUUGCAGUGAGACGAGAUCAUGCCACUGCACUCCAGCCUGGGCAACAGAGUGAGACUCCAUAUCAAAAACAAACAAAGAAAAAAAAAAACUUAAACAUACCCUCACCAUAAAAUCCAGCAAUUGCACUCCUUGGUGUUUACCCAAAGGAGUUGACAACAUAACCACACAAAAACCUGCAUGCAGACAUUUAUAGCAGCUUUACUCAUAAUUGCCAAAACCUGGAUGCAAACAGCAUGUCCUUAGGUGAAUGGAUAAACUGUGUUACAUCUAGACAAUGGAAUAUUAUUUAUUGCUAAAAAGAAAUGAGCUAUCAAGCCAUGAAAAGAUAUGGAGGAACUUUAAAUGCAUAUUAGUAUGUGAAGGAAGACAAUCUGAACAUCUACAUACGCUAUGGUUCCAACUAUAUGAUAUUCUGGAAAAGGCAAAACUGUGGAGACAGAAAAAGAAUCAGAGGUUGCCAGGGGUUAGCAGGGAGGGAAGGAUGAACAGGUGGGGCACAGAGGAUGUUUAGGACAGUGAAAAUAUUCCCUAUGAGACUGUAAUGGUGGAUACGUGUCAUUAUAUAAUUGUCCAAACCCAUAGAAUGUUUAACACCAAGAGUGAAGCGUAGUGUAAAGUAUCAACUUUGAGUAAUGAUAUCUCGAUAUAGUUUCAUCAAUUGUAGCAAAUGUACCAUUCUAGUAGGGUAUGUUGACAAGUGGGGAGGCUGUGGGUGUGUGGGGUAGCAGUGUAUGGGAAAUCUCUGUACCAUCCUCUCAAUUUUGCUGCGAACCUAAAACUUCUCUAUAAAAUAAAGUCUAU